GACGCUGGCGGCGUGCCUAACACAUGCAAGUCGAACGGACGAGGGGAGCUUGCUCCCUGAGUUAGUGGCGAACGGGUGAGUAACGCGUGAGAAACCUGCCUCUCAGUGGGGGACAACAGUUGGAAACGACUGCUAAUACCGCAUAAUGUAUCCGGAGGGCAUCCUCUGCAUACCAAAGCUUUAUGUGCUGAGAGAUGGACUCGCGUCAGAUUAGAUAGUUGGUGAGGUAACGGCCCACCAAGUCGACGAUAGCUAGGGGAUCUGAGAGGACGGUCCCCCCACACUGGUACUGAGACACGGACCAGACUCCUACGGGAGGCAGCAGUAAGGAAUAUUGGGCAAUGGAGGCAACUCUGACCCAGCCAUGCCGCGUGAAGGAAGAAGGCCCUACGGGUCGUAAACUUCUUUUGUCAGGGAAUAAACGUGGCUACGCGUAGCCAUCUGCAGGUACCUGAAGAAUAAGCAUCGGCUAACUCCGUG
rnacentral:rRNA from 1 species